CAGCUGUCCCUCCCUAUGGUCUCUCCUGAUUUCAGAACAAUAAAAACUGCGCAACAGCCUUGAAAUCGGACAGAUUUUGUCAGGCGGAGUACAUUCGUUCAGGUUUCUCUUCCACUCUAACAGACACAACAUUCUACAGGAGCAGGCAGGAUGUCUGUGACCAUGACCAAGGGCGAUGGAAUCCCAGUGUUCACUGUGACCUCUGACCCCGAAAGUGUUUACCUCCUCUGUGCCAAAUCCUCAAAAACCUUGCUACAGCCCGGUGUGCUGCUCUGUGUCUGAGCACCUGAGAAGGGUCCAGAGAAGUUCUCAGUCCGUACUGGGGCUCUGCACAUUAUGGUUGGGCUGCUCAACAUCGGCCUUGGAACGAUACUCUUUUGCUUUGACAGGAUGUACUUUUGGUCCCAGAUAAAUCAAUCGGAUUUCCUUUUUGGCUUGGUGGAUUGUUUAUUUUGUUUGGCACCAUUGACAUUUUGUCUGAGAAGUACCCCAGUCCAUGUCUGUAAGUAG